GAAGGUCAGAUACAGUGCGCGGUUCUUAGAGAAUUAACAGGUGCGUUAAAGCCGAAUCUGACGCCUUGCCUGCUUCCAAUAUAACUAAACUUCACGGGAGAUAACCCCCAAUCUGCAAUCAUCCUGACUUGUUCUGAUUGUCAAAAUAAUAACUCCUUGACUAUUUCCUUGGACUCCCCUCAAGAUAAUUUCAUCCUGAAUAUUUGCCCUGUGGGUGUCUAUAGGUCACGACCUUUCUCCCCUGAGGAAGGAAAAGAUGAGGCCCUGUUUCAUCCAUCUGAAUUUUAAGUUGCCUGAGGUAUUCCUUCAUACUUGGCAUUUUCCUAGCAUCUGUGACCUACAUCAUCUGUUUACAGCAGCUGCCCAGCACAGAAGUCAAGAACCAAGAGAAGAAGAGAGAUCGAGAAGGCCGACCUCCUCCAUGAGCCACCAGAGUCCACGUGGGACCCGCAGGCUCCUGUUCUGCAUGGGUUGCCCCUGCAGCACCGGCCCCAGCAAAGCCGAACAGGUGAAGCCGGCCACCUGCCUCGCCCUGGGGUGCCCUGCGCUACCCAAGUGAUACUCUGGGCCUUGCCCCUCGCCCAGUAUCAUAAAAACUCCCCUACUGCCUUGCCUCAGGGCUCUUCCUUUCUAGUUCUCCCUUGAAGUGACCAUUAGAAGGAUUAGAAUCCUGACCAUUAGACCAUUAGAAUCUUCCCAAGUUAUGUAUCUACACAACAGGGGCCUUCUACAGACAACCAGAGCUCAGGCAGGCUGCAGGAGGCAAUACUCAGGGGUAGGGGACUCUGAAAAUCCUUCUAAAAAAAUUGCUCGCAGCUGACACUCCGUCCUGGUUGGAGGCCACCACUGGGAAGAUGCUCGGAGAGUCGCAGCUUUAUGACCAAGAGGGGUCGCUGCCCCCUCAUCUCCCGUUGCCUUGCACAGCCUAAGUUAAGACACUGAGAGUGGGAAUACAACCCAAACCCUUCUAGUCAAUAUCCCUGUUUAUAAAUCAGGAAAGCAAGGGAAAGAGAGAAAGAGACUUGCCCAAGGCCACGUGGCCGCUGAGGCCUAGGCCCCUCUGGCUCCACUCGCUGCCACCCACGGAGGGCUGCCCUGACACCCACCUGUGCCGCCUUGCGCUCUGGUUUACAGGGCACCUUUCUGGAAGGCAGAGUAAGCUAAAAAUGCCUUGCUGUCAUGACCCCAGCAAAAAGUCACCCUCCCUCCACCCGUCUGAUGGCUACAGUCCCCUUGGUGCCAGGAAAGCCUGCAUUCUCCUCCAUUCAGCAACCCAGCAACUGCUCCGGCUGCCCACACCUCACACCCCAGCCAGACAACUGAGGCCUUGAGUUCUCCCCAAGGGCUGAGAACAUGUCGGGCAGAGUCAGAUGAGGCCCUAUACAUAGGGCUCCUUCCCCCAGCGUCCACGCUGGUCGAAGUCUAAACAUAUGCAAGCAACUAGAAUCCCACGCCUUCCCUUAAAAAGUGGAUCUGAGCUCUGGACACAGCUUUCCUCUUCUUCUGGGAGUCACUGGGCCCAUGUUCCUUCCACAGUGUUCCACCUACCACCGGCAGCAUCCCUUCUGGCCCCAGCGGGGCCACCUGCUCCAGGAAGGCCCCAGGCAUGACUAACAAGAUGCUCUGAAAGCACAGCUGAGUCAGACUCAGCUUCUCAGAGGGAUCUGCUCUCGUCAUCACAGGGAGGGACAACAGCCGCUCAUCACCGGGGCCACAAGGCGCCCUGUCCAGCUGAGCAACAGGAGGGCGGGGCUCGGGUCUUGAAGAGUCUAGAAUCUCAGGGGCAGAUACCUGGAUUGUCUGGGGCAACUGGACAGGCCUAAGGGGACUGUUAGGUCAGGCCCAGGCCCCCCUCCACCCACCUCCGGCAGCUGUGUGAGAAGCCUAGCACUUGUGUACGGGGCAGGGCGUGAGGACACAUUUGGAAAUGCAUUUACAUUCUGGUCUAUUGGUCCGUGGGAGGGAAGAAGGAAUCAAGAACAACCGUCAGGCCAGAGUUUGCCCUGGCCAGCAGCCACUAUACCUGUCUGAUGCUCAGGAUACUCAGUGGCUCUCACCAGUGGUAAGUGGAGAGAACACCCAACUCUGCGAGGCAGAGCUGUGCCUAAAUGCUUGGGGGUGAGCAGUGAGACCGCACGGCCCUAGGCACCCUCCAGUCUCUGGAGUUGCUCUCUGCCCAUCCUGUCCCUUCUGACAGCCUCAUUCUGUGUCUGUCUGUCUGUCUGCCUGGCUGGGUGGUCUGCUCCAUGAGGGCCAGGACUGCCUGUCUCAUUCACAGAGCCCCUACUAUGUAAGAUUUCAAACAUGAAGUGAGAGAGGGGGGAA